rnacentral:rRNA from 1 species
AAAAGGUGGCUAUGCUACCGCUUUUGGAUGGGCCCGCGGCGCAUUAGCUAGUUGGUGGCGUAAAGGCUUACCAAGGCAAUGAUGCGUAGCCGAACUGAGAGGUUGAUCGGCCACAUUGGGACUGAGACACGGCCCAAACUCCUACGGGAGGCAGCAGUAGGGAAUCUUCCACAAUGGGCGAAAGCCUGAUGGAGCAACGCCGCGUGGGUGAAGAAGGUCUUCGGAUCGUAAAACCCUGUUGUUAGAGAAGAAAGUGCGUGAGAGUAACUGUUCACGUUUCGACGGUAUCUAACCAGAAAGCCACGGCUAACUACGUGCCAGCAGCCGCGGUAAUACGUAGGUGGCAAGCGUUAUCCGGAUUUAUUGGGCGUAAAGGGAACGCAGGCGGUCUUUUAAGUCUGAUGUGAAAGCCUUCGGCUUAACCGGAGUAGUGCAUUGGAAACUGGGAGACUUGAGUGCAGAAGAGGAGAGUGGAACUCCAUGUGUAGCGGUGAAAUGCGUAGAUAUAUGGAAGAACACCAGUGGCGAAAGCGGCUCUCUGGUCUGUAACUGACGCUGAGGUUCGAAAGCGUGGGUAGCAAACAGGAUUAGAUACCCUGGUAGUCCACGCCGUAAACGAUGAAUGCUAAGUGUUGGAGGGUUUCCGCCCUUCA